rnacentral:rRNA from 1 species
AUUGAACGCUGGCGGCAGGCCUAACACAUGCAAGUCGAACGAGUGGCGGACGGGUGAGUAAUGUCUGGGAAACUGCCCGAUGGCGGGGGAUAACUACUGGAAACGGUAGCUAAUACCGCAUACCCUCGGAUGUGCCCAGAUGGGUUUAGCUAGUAGGGGGGGUAACGGCUCACCUAGGCGACGAUCCCUCGCUGGUCUGCGAGGAUGACCAGCCAAACUGGAACUGAGAAACGGUCCAGACUCCAACGGGAGGCAGAAGUGGGGAAGAUUGCACAAUGGGCGCAAGCCGGAUGCAGCCAUGCCGCGUGUAUGAAGAAGGCCUUCGGGUUGUAAAGUACUUUCAGCGAGGAGGCGUUACUCGCAGAAGAAGCACCGGCUAACUCCGUGCCAGCAGCCGCGGUAAUUC